rnacentral:rRNA from 1 species
GAGUUUGAUCAUGGCUCAGAUUGAACGCUGGCGGCAUGCCUUACACAUGCAAGUCGAACGGCAGCAUGAUCUAGCUUGCUAGAUUGAUGGCGAGUGGCGAACGGGUGAGUAAUACAUCGGAACGUGCCCUGUAGUGGGGAGUAACUAGUCGAAAGAUUAGCUAAUACCGCAUACGACCUGAGGGUGAAAGUGGGGGACCGCAAGGCCUCAUGCUAUAGGAGCGGCCGAUGUCUGAUUAGCUAGUUGGUGGGGUAAAGGCCCACCAAGGCGACGAUCAGUAGCUGGUCUGAGAGGACGAUCAGCCACACUGGGACUGAGACACGGCCCAGACUCCUACGGGAGGCAGCAGUGGGGAAUUUUGGACAGUGGGCGAAAGCCUGAUCCAGCAAUGCCGCGUGUGUGAAGAAGGCCUGGUUGUAAG